GCCGAAGUGGCGGAACGGUAGACGCGCUAGGUUCAGGAUCUAGUGUCCAUUAGGGUGUGGGGGUUCGAAUCCCCCCUUCGGCACCA
rnacentral:tRNA from 2 species